CAGGCGGCUGACCAACUCCCCGGACGGCAGGAUACGGGUGACCUCCUGGCUUCCAGAUUCCUCUCUGACCUCAGUGACUCCAGACUACAGCAGUUCCACCUAAUAUUCCUAGACAACCCGCAGGUCGCCGUGGGACGUAGUUCCCAGCUGAACCCGCUAUCUGCGCUUCCCUCUCUCCCGAUUUCCUUAAGAGUCCCGGCUCACCAGUGUACCGAGAUCUUGGACUCUCUGACACAGCCACCGCCAAACCUCUUUGCAGAGCCACUGCCAGACCCCGAUAUGACCAUGUUUGUCGAUGGGAGUUCCAAAAAGGACCCAGAUGGGCGCCGGGCAGCGGCCUACGCUGUAGUCACCCUACAGAAAGUCCUUGAGGCCCAACCCCUCCCACUAGGAACAACUUCCCAAAAAGCAGAACUAACUGCACUGACCCGAGCCUUACACCUGGCAAAAAACAAAAGGGCCAAUAUCUACACGGACUCUAAGUACGCUUUCCUAAUCGCCCACUCACAUGCGGCAAUCUGGAAAGAGAGGGGCUUUCUCACCACUAAAGGCUCCCCAAUAUGUAAUGCCUCCCAUAUUACCAAACUACUGGAGGCCAUCCCCCUGCCAAAAGAAGUGGCCAUCUUACAUUGCCGGGGACACCAGGCAGCUCGCGAUAAAAUAGCCCAGGGUAAUAAUUUGGCUGACCAGGUGGCCCGGCAAACUGCCCUGCAGCGAGAGGUGGCCCCUCUACUGGUCCUGGAGACCUCCUUUAUCCCUAAAUACACCAAGGCAGAAACCAGAGCGCUACUCGCCCAGGAGGGGACACAAACACAUCCUUCCGGAUGGAUCACCCUCCACGAAAAACUGGUCCUCCCUGAACAACAAGCCAUCACCAUCAUAAAGCAGAUCCAUGACGCCCUCCAUAUCGGACCGCGAGCUCUCUUAAAUUUCCUUAGCCCGCUCUUCUCCCCUCUUCAUCUUAGGCAGGCCAUCCAGACCGUACACCGCUCCUGUCUGACCUGCGCAACAAUCUCUCCUCAAGGAGGGCUCCGGCCCCCCCCAAGAAACCCACCAGCUGAGAGGACAUCUGCCCGGUCAAGAUUGGCAGAUAACCCAGCAGGUAGCUGCAGCCCUCAACAUCACCUGGCAUCUUCACAUCCCGUACCGACCCCAGUCAUCGGGUAAAGUAGAACGGGCCAACGGGGUCCUCAAGGCCCACCUCGCCAAGCUCGCCUCAGAAGUGCGGCUCUCCUGGGUUGACCUCCUCCCCUUGGCUCUCACCCGCAUCCGCACAACACCGCACUCAAAGACAGGUUUGACCCCCUUCGAGCUGCUGUACAGCAGGCCCUACCUGCUGACCCAUCUGCCCCCAGAAAAACCACCUCCCCUGGCCAAUUACCUGCCCCUUUUCACCCGCCUGCACGCCUUACUCAAGGAACACGCAGAUCGGGUCCUGCCACAACCUAGAGACGGUGACGGCCCCAUCAGACCACUGUCGCCUGGAGACCAGGGUCCAAAAAAUAGCGCAGGCCGCGACCGGACGGGCCAUGAUACUAACAGUUUACACUCAACUCAAUCAAG